AAGUUGACAUUUGGACGUAAUGGAGGAGAAGCAGAGUGAAUUCAGCCGCCUGUGCACGUUUGAAAGCUUUAAACAAAUAUGUCCGAAUUACAGUUUUACUUCAGAACAGACGGAGCUGAUCCGCCACCAAUUCUCCAGGAUAAAAGAUAUUACAUACCUUGAUCAUGCAGGGACAACGCUUUUUCCUGAAUCCCAGAUCAAGGCAUUUUAUGAUGACAUUACCAGAAAUGUGUAUGGUAACCCUCACAGUCUGAAUCCCAGCAGCAGGCUAACACAUGACACAGUGGAAAGGGUCAGAUACAGGAUACUGGAGCACUUUAACACCAGCCCUGAGGAGUACUCAGUAAUCUUCACCUCUGGCUGUACUGCAGCUCUUAAAUUAGUAGCUGAUUCCUUCCCCUGGGUGUCUGCUUCUGCUAACAGCUUAGGAAGUCGGUUCUCCUACCUCACUGACAACCAUACCUCUGUUGUGGGUAUUCGGGGGGUAACUGAACCACGGGGAGUUAAAACAGUGCCUGUCUUACCUCAAGAACUAGAAGCACGAGCUCCACUUUAUCCCAAAGCUAUUCAUUUGCCAACCAAUGCAGGGCAAGAUUGCCUGGUGCCACAUCUUUUCUGUUUUCCAGCCCAAAGCAACUUUUCUGGCAGGAAGUAUCCACUAAGCUAUAUAAGAGAGAUUCAGUCUCAGCGGUUAUACCCAGCAUGCCAGCACAAGGGUCGAUGGUUUGUACUGCUGGAUGCCGCUGGCUUUGUUGGAUGCUCACCACUGGACCUGACACAGCACCCAGCUGACUUUGUGCCCAUCUCUUUCUAUAAAAUGUUUGGCUUUCCAACAGGACUUGGAGCCUUGCUGGUGAGGAAUGAAGCUGCCAUGUUGCUCAGAAAGAGCUAUUUUGGUGGAGGGACAGCAGCAGCUUAUCUGGCGGAAGAGGGAUAUUUUGUAGCCAAGUCAGACAUAGUUAACAGAUUUGAAGAUGGAACCAUUUCAUUUCUUGAUAUUAUUUCCCUUCACCAUGGGUUUGAUGCUCUACAUAGACUCACUGGUAGCAUGGUGAAUGUCCAGCUCCACACAUUUGGUUUAGCUCAUUAUACCUUUACAAUCUUAUCUUGUUUGUGCCAUAGCAAUGGGCAACCAGUUGCCCAAAUCUACUGUGACAAUGACUUUAAUAAUGUAUCAAAGCAGGGUGCUAUCCUUAACUUCAACCUGUUGGACUACCAUGGCCAGGUGAUCGGAUAUUCUCAGGUGGAAAAAAUGGCCUGUCUGUUUAAUAUUCAUUUACGCACAGGCUGCUUUUGUAACAUAGGGGCUUGUCAGGCCUAUCUAGGCAUCAGCAACCAAGAGAUUAAAAGAAACUUACAGGUUGGUCACGUCUGUGGAGACAACAUUGACCUGAUUGAGGGGCGCCCGACUGGUUCUGUGCGCAUAUCCUUCGGGUACAUGUCAACCUUUGAAGACUGUCAGCGUUUUUUAAAGUUUAUUGCUGACUGCUUUGUGGAAAAACCAUUAACACUGGACCAAGAGAGACGGGCAAAUUUAAGGUCAACUGUUGUGACAGAAACCUCUGUCUCAAAUGAGCUGACCUCGUUGUUGAAUGGAAGAGUUGUACCUGCAGAGAACAGCCUAAAUAUUUUGUCUAUUCCUGUCAGCAAAACAUCAUCACAAGAUUUUGCUGUAAAGGAUGAGAAGCACGGUCAAAAUGCACAUAAGCUAACCAACAUAUUUGUAUAUCCUAUAAAGUCAUGUGCUGCAUUUGAGGUGACAGAAUGGCCUUUGGGACCACAGGGGCUGCUUUAUGAUCGCAUGUGGAUGGUAGUAAAUGAGAAUGGAGUGUGUCUGAGUCAGAAACAAGAGCCAAAACUAUGUCUCAUCCAUCCUCACAUCUGCCUAAACUCCAACACUCUGCGCCUUCACGCCUCAGGUAUGGAUCCUAUAACUGUUUCACUGGAGGUCAGUAAUGAAAGCCCUGGACUUAGAACAUGUCAAAGCAAGGUUUGUGGUGACAGAGUACAGACUGUUGACUGUGGGGAGAAGGCGUCAUCCUGGCUGUCUGUGUUUUUUGGAAAGCCUUGUCGUCUAAUUAGACAGAGUCCCAGUUUCAGCCGUAAAAUGAAAAUGGUUUCAAAAGGAGGAUCCUCCUCAUCUGCACUCUCUCUGGUGAAUGAGGCUCAGUUUCUGUUGAUUAACAGUGCUAGUGUGAAGUUUCUGCUUGACCACAUCAACAGCAGACAGGGCAGCUCAGAUAACAGCACAUCUUUCGACAUGCUACAACUCAUUCAUCGUUUCCGGGCCAACCUUGUUAUCUCUGGUUCUGAGCCCUUCGAAGAGGACAACUGGUCUAAUGUGAACAUUGGAGACACACGCUUUCAGCAGGCAGGUGUGGUCGUUGCCAGAUGAUUGGUGUAGAUCAGACCUCCGGCACUAAGACCAAGGAACCUCUCAGAUCUCUGUCUGAAUGCCGAAAUGGCAAGUAUUGAUGUGACAUCCAGUGGAGGGUUAAAGAAGUAUCACAUACCACCACCAUUUGAUGUACAUUAUUAGAUAUUAAUAUAUAUUACUAUAAUGUGUAUUUAAAAAAACAGCAGAAAAUAAAAUGAUCUCAUUCAGUCUUAACUGAAUAGUGGUGCCAUGCAGUGUGCUCAUUUUAAUCUACCACAUAUUUUCCACCACUCAAGCCUACAACAGAGGCCUUUUACUGCAGUGAUUUAACUUUAUCUGUGAGGGUGUGAAGUGUUGCAAAUCCAGCACAAUCAUUUUAGUGCGUUUUUCAAAGACAAUAAUUAGGCACGCCUCUGACUCUCCAACACCCAAAGAAAA